CCUACGGGUGGCAGCAGUGGGGAAUAUUGGACAAUGGGCGAAAGCCCGAUCCAGCCAUGCCGCGUGUGUGAAGAAGGCCUUCGGGUUGUAAAGCACUUUCAGUGGGGAAGAAAGCCUUGGGGCUAAUACCCUCGAGGAAGGACAUCACCCACAGAAGAAGCACCGGCUAACUCCGUGCCAGCAGCCGCGGUAAUACGGAGGGUGCGAGCGUUAAUCGGAAUUACUGGGCGUAAAGCGCGCGUAGGCGGUCUGAUAAGCCGGUUGUGAAAGCCCCGGGCUCAACCUGGGAACGGCAUCCGGAACUGUCAGGCUAGAGUGCAGGAGAGGAAGGUAGAAUUCCCGGUGUAGCGGUGAAAUGCGUAGAGAUCGGGAGGAAUACCAGUGGCGAAGGCGGCCUUCUGGACUGACACUGACGCUGAGGUGCGAAAGCGUGGGUAGCAAACAGGAUUAGAUACCCCGGUAGUC
rnacentral:rRNA from 1 species